CAACAUCAUACUGAACAAACAAAAGCUGAAAGCAUUUCCCUUGAGAACCAGAACAAGACAAGGAUGCCCACACUCACCAUUCCUAUUCAACAUUGUUCUGGAAGUCCUUGCCAAAGCAAUCAAACAAGAGAAAGAAACAAAAGGCAUCCAAAUAGAAAGAAAGGAAACCAAAUUAUU